rnacentral:lncRNA from 1 species
ACUCUGAAUUUUCUAUAUUGAUUCUUCCUCUCAUCUUAAUCUUAAUGGUUUACUAUAUUAAUAAUGUUUGAUUCUUUCCUAUUUCUCAUUUGGAUAUCUAGUCUUCUAAUGAGGUUUACUCUUCCCUGUGCUCUCAUGUUUGUGUUUAUCUUUUAUCUGUUUUGGGUUUGGGGUUCUGUAUGGUGUGGAUAUUGAAGUGGUCAGAAGUUCAGCAGGGUUCAGAAGUGGGGUUUUAGGAAAGUGAUAAGAUCAUGAGGGCCCUGAUCUUACCUCAUUUGAUAGCUUAAUUCACUGAUAGUGAAUUAACUACUGGAAGGUAUGAUGUAAUUGGAGGAAGUAGAUCACUGGAGGCAUGUCGUGGAAGGGUUUAUCUUCUCCCCAUCUACUUUCUCCCUCCUGCCCACUCUCAAUGUUUCUCCUUUUUUGGCUUCUAUGAGCUGACUGCUUUUCUCUACCAUACUUUUUCACUAUGAUGUUCUUCUUCACCUCAGGCCUAGAGCAAUGGAGCCAGCUCACCAUGGACUGAGUCCUUUGAAACUGUGAGCUAAAAAUAAACUUAUGCUCCUCUAAGUUGCUUGUGUCAGGUAUUUUUGUUAUAGUAACAAAAAGUUGACUGACACAAAAAGCUGUUAUUCAGAAGUGGUGUUAUUGCUGUGACUAUCCCUGACCAUAUGGUUCAGAAGCCUUUGGAAAUGGUUCACAUGAGGAGUUUGGAAAGACUUGGAGUUAUGGGCUAGAGAAGGACUAGAAUGUUGUAAACAUAGCUUAAUGGUCAAUUCUGAUGUGAGCUUCGAAGACCAGAAUGCUAGUAAGACUGCUAAUUGUGAAGAUUGUGCUCAUGAGGUUUCAAAUGGGAAUGAGGACUCCAUUGGGGACUGAACUAGAGGCUAUUCAUGUAAUAUCUGGCAAAGAACUUGUCUACAUUUUUCCAUAUCUUAAGUUGUGUGAAGCUGAAUUUAAAGUGAGUAAAUUUCAAGGCAUUCAAGUGGUGGCAUGGGUAUUUCCUGCCACCUUUAGCCAAGUUUACUGUGAUAAUUAGUAAGCAAAAUCACACACACACACAUAUACUUUAGCCAAGUUUACUGUGAUAAUUAGUGAGCAAAAAUCACACACACACACACAAAAAAACUUUAUGAAAAACUUGCACUUCAGAAAAUAAGCAGGUGUAAAAUUGGUGCAAGG